AGUUUGUAGCAUUUUGUAUUUCAAGAAGUCAUGGAGGUAUGCAUGUUUUCAGUUCGUUGACAGAAUCUACAACAAGCUUUGGGUAGCUAUUGCAAUUAAGGCAAAUCAACUACGGAGUAUGUUUCAAAGAAUCAAAUUUGAACAAAAUGCAUAACAAGUUUUAAUGUAGGUUCGAGGUUGCUUGAGCGUAGCGCAGACACUCCAAAAUUUAAUAAAGCUCCAGUUAAGAUUAGAAAAAAAGAAAGAAGAAUGGAAGGCUAUGCUAUGAAUUCCUUUGUUUGAAGGAUAAAUUUAUGUCUAGCAGAAUAGUCUCUUGCUAUCUCUAUUUGUUUUUAUGUUGGUGUGUACCUCAAUAUAUUUCCUAUAGAAUUUGAUAGCCUCUUUGUACUUAUUUCAAGACAUGGAAUGCAU
rnacentral:misc_RNA from 1 species